rnacentral:rRNA from 1 species
AUACGGAGGGGGCAAGCGUUGUUCGGAAUUACUGGGCGUAAAGAGUACGUAGGCGGAUCGUUAAGUUAGAGGUGAAAUCCCAGGGCUCAACCCUGGAACUGCCUUUAAUACUGGCGAUCUGGAGAUCGAGAGAGGUGAGUGGAAUUUCCAGUGUAGAGGUGAAAUUCGUAGAUAUUGGAAAGAACACCAGUGGCGAAGGCGGCUCACUGGCUCGAUACUGACGCUGAGGUACGAAAGCGUGGGGAGCAAACAGGAUUAGAAACCCCAGUAGUCC